GCCGCGCCCACCGCGAACGGCAGCCGCUCCGCCGCCGCGCGGCGCCCCGCCUGGCUUUUGUCUGGGGCGGCGUGGCGGCGGGGGCGGUGGAGGAAGGGGCGGUGCAGCGUGGAGGAGAAGUCCUUAAAGUAGAGCACGGAGACGAAGGUGAUGAAGGCGAGCGUGAGCGCGUAGGACGUCAGGAAGGGGCUCCUGCUCCCCCGCCCGUUGGCGUGCUGCGCCUUCAUCGUCGAUCUCAUCCGACCGAGGGCCCCGAGGGGACGUCUGCUCCGGCCGGCGCUCCUUCCUUCCUUCCUCCCCCCGCCCCGCCUUCUCUACCCGCGCGCUCCCUCGCUCCUCCCUCUCGGUCCAGCUCGCAACGCAGGAUCCGCCGGACAAUGGAGACGGCCGGCGCGCCCUGAUCUCUGAUCUGGCGUUGGGUGCGCGGGAUCUAGGGCGAGGAGAAGCUCCGCAGCACCACCUGCCGCUGGAGGUGAGGCCGAAGCUUGCUUUGCUCUCGCUUUUGCGUUUGGCCGUUUGGGGCCCUGGACUUUUGGUGGAUGGAGUAGGCCAGAGUGGGUACGGGAUACAGUGCCUCCACUCCACCAG
rnacentral:misc_RNA from 1 species